rnacentral:rRNA from 1 species
GAUGAACGCUGGCGGCGUGCCUAAUACAUGCAAGUCGAGCGAACAGAUGAGGAGCUUUCUCCUCUGACGUUAGCGGCGGACGGGUGAGUAACACGUGGAUAACCUACCUAUAAGACUGGGAUAACUUCGGGAAAAUGGAGAUAAUACCGGAUAAUAUAUUGAACCGCAUGGUUCACUAGUGAGAUACGGUUUUGGUGUCACUUAUAGACGGAUCCGCGCCUCAUUAGCUAGUUGUUAAGGUAACGGCUUACCAAGGCUAUGAUGCGUAGCCGACCUGAGAGGGUGUACGCCCCCACUGGAACUGAGACUCGGUCCAGACUCCUACGGGAGGCAGCAUUAGGGAAUCUUCCGCAAUGGGCGAAAGCCUGACGGAGCCACGCCGCGUGAGUGAUGAAGGUCCUCUGAUCGUAAAACUCUGUUAUUAGGUAAGAACAAAUGUGUAAGUAACUAUGCACGUCUUGCCGGUACCUAAUCAGAAAGCCACGGCUAACUACGUG